ensembl:lncRNA
UGUGCCCACAAACCUGCAGAAGCAGGUUGUCUAAGGGAUCACUUAAAAUAAAGAACUACAUAGACGUCACUUUUUCAGCUACAAUGAAGAAGACUUCUUUCCUCUAUUGCUUUUUAUAUGGUAAGUGACUACAUAAGUUUAGUAGUUUUUGUCAUUUAAAUGUUUAUUUUGAUGUCUUAUAUCUUAUCACAUGACUUAUUAUUAUUACUAAAUGACUUAUUACAUUAUGACAUCAAUUUCAACAGUUACAUUAAUCGAUGGAGACGUAAUUAAUGUAGAGGAAUUUGAGGGGAGAAGUGUCUCCUUCCAGUGCUCACACACAUUUGCAUGGAGCAACAACAAGUAUUUCUGCAAAGAUCCAUGUACAAGCACAGGAGACGUACUAGUUACUGUAGAAUCUGGAGGAAGAGCAGAGUCAGGGAGGAUUGCUCUGGUGGACUCUGGGGAUGGAUUCUUCACUGUGACCUUCAGCAACCUUCAGCUGUCAGACUCACAGAAAUACUGGUGUGCAGUGGAGCGGACUGGUUUUGAUACAUAUGCUGAGAUACACCUAACAGUAAAGAACGCUGUUGCAACCGUGACAACUGUCAUACCGGGAGUUGCCACAUGGACAAAUCAAAAUACCAACACAACAAACUUCACAACUGGAACAGGAACCGUGAAGCCUUUAGAACUUUCAACAGCCCUAAACUUCACAGCUGAAGAAGAACCUAAAAUCAACACAGACACCAUCGUGUUUGCUACCGUUGGUAGUGUUGGUCUGGUCUCCGUCUUGCUGCUGGCAGUAUGUUUCUGGAAGUCCAGAAAAACCUCAAAACAUAAACAAUCAGUUUACUCCAAAAGUGCAGACCUCACCAGUGCAAACAAAAGAGAGGUCAGCUGUGGUUAUGAUGACACUGACAAGAGGAAAAAGGGCAGUAAGAAGUCUCCUAAGAGUUCAUCUGUCUCUACUCACCAAAAAAGAGAAGAUCCACUAACAUCUGAUGCCACAGCGACCAAAUGUAGUGUACUCGCUGAUACUGAUCAAAACAUCUCUUUCCCCAAACUUCCUGAAUGUUCAGGAUAUUCACUCACAGAGGACCAAAAUGACUAUGAAAAUAACUCUGGAAUCUACAUCGAUAAUUUGCCAGCUUUCAUAUUUGAAAGAACAGAUGAUGGUGCUUGUAGAAAGCAAAUAACUGAACCUAAUGCAAGCAAAAAUACACUGAGCUGUGCAAACCGUUGUGUCUCCAGAGCCCCAUGUGAAUCCAAUGAAGAGAAGCCCAGAUCACUUUGGUUUGGUUUAGAUUUAUCAGAAAUAAAUCAGAAUUAGUUUCAAAGAUCUGAUUUGUAAAUUUGUUAUGGACAUUUAUGGAAAAGUGAACUUCUUCACUAAUCAUCAAUAACAGUCUUCACCAUUAUUAAAGUUGCACACUGUAUUGUACUGUCAGUGUUUCCAUUUCAUGGCUGUCUCUGUCUGUUUUUGUAAUUUAUACUUUGGUUUUGUUUAACCGGGAGGAGUCCCCGGGGCAGACCCAGGACACGCUGGAGAAAUUAUAUCUCUCGGCUGGCCUGGGAACGCCUUGGUGUUCCCCCGGAACAGCUGGAGGAGGUGGCUGGGGAGAGGGAGGUCUGGGCUUCUCUGGCUGCUGCCCCCACCACCCAGCCCCAGAUAAGCAGAAGAAAAUUGAUGGAUGGAUGGAUGGAUAGAUGUUGUUUAUUAUAUACUUUUAUCAUAUAUUAUUUGCAUCACAUUUGAUACAUUGGGCGUUUUGGCAACUUUUUGUUAACAACAAUGUUAAUUUUAGACAAAAAAAAGAGUUUGGUCCAUAACAUUUUGAAAUUAUUGCAAGUAUUGAUCAUGUUGAUGAGGUCUCAGAAACUCAUGUAGCAAAUACGACACAAAGGGCAUUAUAGGGUUAAGAACAAGUCUAAUAGCUUGUUGACUCAAAGCUAAAGUGAGAACUGACACUGACAUAUGGUUAACACGUCAGGGGAAAUGUGCUACAUUUCUAGUGGGUGAAAGUUAGUUAGUGUAGUAUCUUGUGUGUUUUUGCAUGUGUUGACAUCUGCUGUUGUGGUUAAUGUUAGCAUGUAUAUACCUAAUAGGCUGUUUGUUUGCAGACAGUGAUAAAUUGAAAAUAAACUCUCAAAAAU